CGCGUAGGCGGUUCUUUAAGUCAGAUGUGUAAUCCCCGAGCUUAACUUGGGAACUGCAUCUGAGACUGGAAGGCUAGAGUACUGGAGAGGGUGGUGGAAUUCCUCGUGUAGCGGUGAAAUGCGUAGAGAUGAGGAGGAACACCAGUGGCGAAGGCGGCCACCUGGACAGUAACUGACGCUGAGGCGCGAAAGUGUGGGUAGCAAACAGGAUUAGAUACCCUGGUAGUCCACGCUGUAAACGAUGAACACUUGGUGUGGAGGGAGUUGACCCCUUCCGUGCCGGAGCUAACGCGUUAAGUGUUCCGCCUGGGGAGUACGGUCGCAAGGCUGAA
rnacentral:rRNA from 1 species